GCUUAGUACUGUUUCGACUGGAUCUUUCCUUCUGGAUAUUUAUGUGCUAUUUAUUUAGUGCAUAAAGAUUCCAGGACUGUUACUUUGAAAAAAUUAGAGUGUUUAAAACAGGCUUACGCUUGAAUACAUUAGCAUGGAAUAACGGAAUAGGACUUUGUUUCUAUUUUGUUGGUUUUUAGAAAUGAAGUAAUGAUUAAUAGGGAUAGUUGGGGGCAUUAGUAUUCCAUUGUCAGAGGUGAAAUUCUUGGAUUUAUGAAAGACUAACUUCUGCGAAAGCAUUUGCCAAGGAUGUUUUCAUUAAUCAAGAACGAAAGUUAGGGGAUCGAAGACGAUCAGAUACCGUCGUAGUCUUAACCAUAAACUAUGCCGACUAGGGAUCGGACAGUGUUAAUUAUUGACCUGUUCGGCACCUUAUGAGAAAUCAAAGUUUUUGGGUUCCGGGGGGAGUAUGGUCGCAAGGCUGAAACUUAAAGGAAUUGACGGAAGGGCACCACCAGGAGUGGAGCCUGCGGCUUAAUUUGACUCAACACGGGGAAACUCACCAGGUCCAGACAUAGUAAGGAUUGACAGAUUGAGAGCUCUUUCUUGAUUCUAUGGGUGGUGGUGCAUGGCCGUUCUUAGUUGGUGGAGUGAUUUGUCUGGUUAAUUCCGAUAACGAACGAGACCUUAACCUGCUAAAUAGUUGCGUUAACUUUGGUUGACGUUUAACUUCUUAGAGGGACUAUUGA
rnacentral:rRNA from 1 species